AAUGAACGUUGGCGGCGUGGAUUAGGCAUGCAAGUCGCGCGAUUUCCUUCGGGGAAGAGCGGCGGAAGGGAGAGUAACGCGUAGAUACCUACCCUCGGGACUGGAAUAGCGACGGGAAACUGUCGGUAAUGCCAGCUAACGUCCCUGGACCAAAGGUGUGAAUCCGCCUGAGGAGGGGUCUGCGUCCUAUUGGCUAGUUGGCGGGGUAGCGGCCCACCAAGGCGAAGAUGGGUACCGGGCGUGAGAGCGUGCCCCGGCUCACCGGGACUGAGACACUGCCCAGACACCUACGGGUGGCUGCAGUCGAGAAUCUUCGGCAAUGAGCGCAAGCUUGACCGAGCGACGCCGCGUGCGGGAUGAAGGCUUUCGGGUUGUAAACCGCUGUCAGUGGGGAGGAAAUUCUUGGGGGUACUCCCCCUUGAUUGACCGAUCCGCAGAGGAAGGACGGGCUAAGUUCGUGCCAGCAGCCGCCGUAACAC
rnacentral:rRNA from 1 species